AUGGAUUUUCCCUCUUUCGAUGGGGAAAUCCCACAAUUCUGGAAGACUAGAUGUGAAAAGUACUUUGAUGUCUAUGGGGUCGCUCCAGAGAUUUGGGUUCGUGUCACCCUCAAUUUCACUGGCAAUGCAGCCAGAUGGUUGCAACUGCAUGAAUUGCAGAGUGCUUCAUUCACUUGGGAAUCACUAUGCACAGCUCUGUGUUCUAAUUUUGGUCGAGAGCAGUACCAGGCCCAUCUUUGAUAGUUUAACACAUUGCGUCAGUCAGGCACCGUAGGGGAUUACAUGACCAAGUUUGAGGAGUUGAUGCACCAUAUCUUAGCUCAUAACCCUACUUUUGAUCCCAUCUAUUUCAUUACCCAGUUCUUAGAUGGUCUUAAGAGUGACAUACGAGCUGUUGUUAUGCUUCAUCAGCCGAAAGAUUUGGAAUCUGCCUUCUCUCUGGCUACGUUGUAG
rnacentral:rRNA from 1 species